rnacentral:lncRNA from 1 species
UUCCCCCAAGGAAAACCAAAAAUUCUAAUAUAAAUUUGUUAUACUGCUGAAGCAGAAAUAAUUUUUAUAAUUUUAAGAGUGCACGGAUGAUCCGGACAGUGAAUCAUGAAUUAAAACAAUUUUGAAUAAGCUUGUAUGGACACUUAUUUUUAUACUCCCUAGCUUUCUACUCAUCUGAAACUCUACCUUGAAAGGCUUCAACAAUUUGAAGAUUAAAUAAUAAGUUAUUAAACCAUUAAUUUAACCAUUUAAGCCUCUAAAAUCAGCACAUAUUACCUUCCCCCUUCAAGUCAAUUUGCAAGAGAUUAAAAUAAUAAAAAUG